CAUGCAAGUCGAACGGCAGCGGGGCCUUCUUGAUCUCUGGAGGGCGAGUGGGGUAAGGAAGGGGAAUACAUCUGAAUGGCUUUUUCGAUAAGGAUAACGUACGGAAACUAAUACCGAUACCGCCUACGACCUACGGGUGGGGGAUCGGGAGACCCCGACCUUUCGCAAUAGACUGAGCCGAAGUCGGAUUAUGGAGGGGGAGGGGUAAAGGCCCGCCACGAUGCCGAUCCGGUCCUGGACGAAGAGGAUGAUCACUGGAACUGAAACUGGGACCAGACCCAUACUCCUGGGGGAGGUGGGGAAGAUUGAACUUGGACAAAGGGCCCGAUCCUGACCCGCCCCUUGCGUGAGGAAGGUCUUCGGCUUCGAAUUGACUUGACCUUUUGAGGAAGGGCAAAUCCUUCUGGCCUGGACCUUUUGGGGUUGCCGGUACAAUAAGAAUCGGCUCACUUCAUGUUCGCGCCCGCGGCCAUACGAAUGCGGAAGGCGUAAAUCUUAAUCACUGUUACUGAAGCGCACGCGUGCGUUUGUGCUAGUUUGAGGUGAAUUCGCAAGCCUCGACCUGAAAACUGCCUCUGAAACUACUGCUGUACAACUCGGAUGAGGGUGAUGGUAUCUCCUGUGCAGGUGUGACAUUGAUAUAUCAUGGGGAGCAUCAACAGUGGAGACGGCGACCUCGUGGACUAAUACCGACGAUGCGGUGAAAAAGGGGGGGCAGCCAACAUUAUAUGACACCGUGGUAGUCCCCCCAGUAAAUGAUGUCGACUAGCCGUGGGCAUCUUUGCAAUCAGAAUGGCACAUCUAACGUUAUAAUUCCCCCGCGUGGAGAGUGGGGCCACAAGGUUAAAUCUAAAGUAAAUUCGGGGGGGCCCGCACAAGCGGUAGAACAUGUGUUUUAAUUAGAAGCAACGAAAAGCCCCUCCCGUCCCCUUCACAUGGAGAGAUUUUCCCAGAGAGGGAUUGGCCCUUUGGAAAUCUCACACACAGGUGGCACAUGGCUGUUCUCAUCUUGUGUCGAGAGAUUUUGGUAAAAGUCCCGUAGAGAGCGCACCCCUUCUCUUUAGUCCCCAGCACCUCGGGUGGGCAUUUUAAGGAGCCUCCGGGUGCCAACCCGGAGGAAGGGGGGAAGGAGGCCAAGUCUUCAUGCCCCUUCCGCCCAGGGCACCCCACGUGCUCCAAUGGUGGGACCAAAGGGUUCACACCGCGGGAGGUGAACCAAUUCCCAUAAAACCGUUUCUAGUCCGGAUCGCAUUCUCAAAUUGGAUUCAGGAAAGUCGGAAUCGCUAGUAAUCGUGAAUCAGAAUUCACGGUGAAUACGUUCCCGGGCCUUGUACACACCGCCCGUCACACCAUGGAGUUUGUUGCUCCAGAAGCAGGUAGCUUAACC
rnacentral:rRNA from 1 species